GGGGGCAUAGCUCAGCGGUAGAGCCGCGGCCUUUUAAGCCGUAGGUCGGGGGUUCGAAUCCCUCUGCCCCUACCA
rnacentral:tRNA from 1 species